rnacentral:rRNA from 1 species
UACGUAGGGUGCGAGCGUUGUCCGGAAUUACUGGGCGUAAAGAGCUCGUAGGUGGUUUGUCGCGUUGUUCGUGAAAACUCACAGCUUAACUGUGGGCGUGCGGGCGAUACGGGCAGACUGGAGUACUGCAGGGGAGACUGGAAUUCCUGGUGUAGCGGUGGAAUGCGCAGAUAUCAGGAGGAACACCGGUGGCGAGGGCGGGUCUCUGGGCAGUAACUGACGCUGAGGAGCGAAAGCGUGGGGAGCAAACAGG